UACGAAGGGGGCGAGCGUUGUUCGGAAUUACUGGGCGUAAAGGGCGCGUAGGCGGCCGAUCAAGUCAGAUGUGAAAGUCCUGGGCUUAACCUGGGGACUGCAUUUGAUACUGAUUGGCUUGAAUGCAGGAGAGGAUAGCGGAAUUCCCAGUGUAGAGGUGAAAUUCGUAGAUAUUGGGAAGAACACCGGUGGCGAAGGCGGCUAUCUGGACUGUGAUUGACGCUGAGGCGCGAAGGCGUGGGGAGCGAACGGG
rnacentral:rRNA from 1 species